rnacentral:lncRNA from 1 species
GGGACAAAGUCAAGGAGACUUCAAAGAUGAGAAAUGAUUGCACUGGGCCUUAGAGAGGAAGUUCAGCAGAACAAGGUGGGAAGGGCACGAUAUCAGAGAUCACCUGAUACUUCCAAGCAAGCAGGUGUUCUUUUCAGAAGCCAGAAGCUGAUAACCUGGGCUUUCUGAUCUAACCCCAGCCCAAAUUCAUUGCAAUGGAGGAAUUGGGGAGGAGAUUCUUCCUACUGAGAAGUGGGUGCCAACUCUCCCUUUCAAAUUUGUUCAUCAACAAACUAAAGGGGAUGCCAGAAAUGUCUGGAGCAAUGGAAGAACCACUGGAAUAAUGCUCCUGCCUGAUUGUAUCUACUUAACCCACUCUCCAAGAGCCAGAAUCAGAUUUCAACCGUAUGGAAUCAUCUACAAUGCAGCAGAUGGGUUUACAAGUCUCUUGGUCUCUUCAUGUAAUUAACAGCCAAGAAGUCUAAAGCUUGCAUUGUUUACGUGGAAGAUGUUUCUUGCCCAUUCCCAUGCCAUGCCAUCUGAAAUCGCUCCUUUUUUUAUUUUUUCUGUGCAGUUUUUUUAACUUUGUGGGAUCCUCUGCAUAUAAAACUCCAUUCAACUACUUCAUCCUACUGUAGAAAGCUACUUCCCUAUGAGUUUAGCUCCAUGAUUUACAAUGGUUUCUUUUCCC